UUUAAGUGCAACCAUAAGUUUUUGCGCCCAGCUUUGAUCGUCUGUCUUAUUUGAAUUUUUUUAUAAUUAGUAUUUUUAUUAUUAUGAAAUGAUAAAAUAUAAAUAGUACUUUAUACGUGACUUCUAUUUUUAAAUUUUUUCAAAAAAAAUUUCAAAUAAGACGGGCGGUCAAAGUUGUGCACGGAAAAUCAUGGUUGCACUUAAA
rfam:Oryza glaberrima chromosome 12 Oglab12_0059_2, whole genome shotgun sequence.